UACGGGGGGGGGCAAGCGUUGUUCGGAAUUACUGGGCGUAAAGGGCUCGUAGGCGGCCAACUAAGUCGGACGUGAAAUCCCCAGGCUCAACCUGGGAACUGCGUCUGAUACUGGAUGGCUUGAAUCCGGGAGAGGGAUGCAGAAUUCCAGGUGUAGCGGUGAAAUGCGUAGAUAUCCGGAAGAACACCGGAGGCGAAGGCGGCUUGCUGGACCUGGUCUGACGCUGAGGCGCGAAAGCGUGGGGAGCGAACAGG
rnacentral:rRNA from 1 species